ensembl:lncRNA
CGUUGUUCUGGACCCAGGGACUCCGGCUUUUCCCCAUAUCCCCGGACCAGAGCCGGCGCACAGCACUCGGGCUGGGGCUGCGCUGGGCCAGGAGGCGACGCGUCCCCCCGCGGGACCGGUAGGACGCACGUGGCCUCCCUGUGAGGACCCAGGCCAGCGCCAGGGCCCUCCCCAGUCGCUCAGCUUGGGUCUCCAGGCCUCUGCCCUCCCUCCUAGGGCCGGCAGGGGCAGGCUAUGGGCAUGGGCGACACCUCCCCAGAAAGCUCCUCCUUGCUUCAGAGGCUCUGCCUGUGCGGCCCGGGAGGGGGGAGGGGCGAUGCACCCCAACACCAAGCACCAAUGCGGGAGACCAGAGCAGCCACCCAGAGGCUUCCUCGGGCACAUGGAGCGUCAGGGGUGGCUCUUCGCAGGAGCUGUGAGGUGGACUAGCUCUGACGAGUGUCCCCACUGGAGACCAGCUGCCCCUGAUGCUUCUUCCCGGGGCCUCCUGCUCCGCCUCCCACCGGUCACCUCCACCAGCAGCCCGGCCACAAACCUGCAUGGCACACUGGUCCUCUCUGCGGCUGGGCGUGCUCUGCAAGGCACCAGCGUCUGGCUGUUUGAGUCUUACAGUUUUGAGGGCCUCUUGUCCAGGUGCUCCUAAAUCACAAUGAUUUUCCUCAGCCUUGUGUCCCUUAAUUCUGAGAUGAGCGCAGAAGCUAGGAGGGUAGAGGGGAGCCAGUGUCCCCUCCCAAAUGAACAGCAAUGGCUUUAAAACAGGAGCCGACAAUGCCUAAGCCCUCUGAGUGGCUCCAGCUGGCUGCCUGGGCCCCAUCCCUUCCGGGGAAGCCUCCCCUUCCCUCUCCUCCUUCGGCCCCCUUCUUGGGGAGCUCUUGGCAGCCAAGACAGGGAACUGCCUGAACCCAGCCCUCGACAGCCCUCCCUGUGUCCCUGUCUGGCGGUCCAGGGGGCUGAGCAGGAGACCUUCAGGGACAGGGGCAGGUCUGGGUGUGCUGGGUGACAGCUCCCUUCCUGUCUUGCCUUCUAGAAGUGAACCCUUGUGUCUGCCUGUGCACCAGGCACAGGAGACACAGAAGAGAUUCACAGAAAGAAUCGCUCAGCUUUGGCGGCAACAAGUCCCACCAUCUGCCCUGCACAAGCUGCAGUCCCAGGACAGCCUGAGACACAUCCAGAAGUAACAGCACCCCACGGGCAAGGCCAAUCCACAUGAUGUGUAAAACAAGCCAUCUCCAGUCUACCCAAGCUGGUCUCCCGGAGCCAUGCUUAAUCUCAAGCUAAGGACAAUAACCAGGUUAAAAUUCUGCCAAACUUCACACACCUCUUGUGCACAAGGAGGUAGAGUCCUUGAGUGAUCUUAACGCCUCCCCUUGAUGGGCCAUCACUUAAAGCCACGGUGUCCAGUGGACAAUGCUUAAUACAAUGAUAUGAAGUUAACACAUCUUAUGUUACACAGUAAGGGAACAAGAGAGGAAAGAAAAGAAGCACACAUAUUGUAUUGGGAACAAAACAGGAAUAAAUGUGCAUGACGAUUAGUCGCAUUCAGUUCCCAGUUGUGUGCACAAAACUACUUCCUUCCAUUACCUUUGCAGUGCCCUCUGCCUCCAGAGCAGCUCACUGGUCCUGGCGACGUGACCCAGGUCUCCCUCCCUGGGGACUCUCCAGCCCCUGGCCCUUGCCCGAGGUGAUCUGGAUGAGUCCCCCGCCAGCGUGGCCAUGCUCUGCUUUGCUGCUGAGUCAGAAAUGGGAGGGGACCAGGUGCCCAGGCGGCUGUCUUCCAUUCUGGUUUAAUGGAUCUUGGCACUGUCUCUUGGCAGAAACAUUCCUUCCCAUGUUACAAAGAUUCCUAGGCCAGCAAGGCAUAAAGCCUUGAGAACAGGAAACAGAAAUUCCAUCAGCAGGUCACUGCAUGGGGUGCUGAGUUGGGCCGCUUGCAUCCCUACCCCUUGAAUCCUGGACCCUGGACGCUGGCUUUGGGAGAAACAGCACCUGUGCUGGACCCGAUUCAGGGCACACACAGCCCUCAGGAGUGUGCGGCCCAGCUUGCAAGGUGUCAUCCCUCACUGGGGCCGUAGCUAAGUCUUGAAAAGCCCAUUCCACCCUUCUGUCAAGCCCGUGGCUUCAAGAUGAUGGGGAGCAUGAAGUAUUAAGUUUUAUGUUAUAUUUAUUUUUGUCAUAAUAAAAUGCUAUGAAUGGCCAACACAGGACCCACUGGGGCCAGGGACAGGGAGCCCUGGCCAUCUCGAAGAGCUUUUCAGCAUCAUGCAGUGAUGUUAAGAAAAUGCAUGGUUCAUGCAGAAAUUCCACUCCCGUGCAUGUGCCCUGAGGAAAUUUUUUCGAUGUGCUUAGAAACUCCUGUGGGAAUGUCCAGAAAAGCCCUGUGUCUGCUCGAAACACCUCCACACGACUAACAUAAAACUUAUGUCCAGGGGCCAGGAUUUAGCUCAGUGGUUUCCCCACCUGCUGCGCAAGCGCAAGGACCCAAGUUCAAUCCCCAGAACCAAAAAAAGAAAAAAAAAAACUUAUGUCCAAAGUAAAAAUUAUCCUGGGGCACGAGGAUCGCUGUGAGUUCGAAGCCAGCAUGAGUUACACAGUGAGUUCAAGGCCAGCCUGGAUUGCAUAGCGAGACUCUCUCUCUCAAAAAAC